CGUCAGCUCGUGUCGUGAGAUGUUGGGUUAAGUCCCGCAACGAGCGCAACCCUUGUCACUAGUUGCCAUCAUUAGUUGGGCACUCUAGUGAGACUGACCGGUGGACAAACCGGAGGAAGGUGGGGAUGACGUCAAGUCCUCAUGGCCCUUAUGGGUAGGGCUUCACACGUCAUACAAUGGUCGGUACAGAGGGUUGCCAAGCCGCGAGGUGGAGCCAAUCCCUUAAAGCCGAUCGUAGUCCGGAUCGUAGUCUGCAACUCGACUACGUGAAGUCGGAAUCGCUAGUAAUCGCAGAUCAGCAUGCUGCGGUGAAUACGUUCCCGGGUCUU
rnacentral:rRNA from 1 species